GGUUUAACAGGAGCCAAGGGGGAGCCUGGUCCCAUGGGGACCCCUGGAGUCAAAGGCCAGCCUGGACUCCCAGGCCCCCCAGGCCUGCCGGGCCCUGGUUUCGCUGGACCUCCUG